rnacentral:rRNA from 1 species
AUUGAACGCUGGCGGCAUGCCUUACACAUGCAAGUCGAACGGCAGCACGGGAGCAAUCCUGGUGGCGAGUGGCGAACGGGUGAGUAAUACAUCGGAACGUGCCCAGUAGUGGGGGAUAACCCGGCGAAAGCCGGACUAAUACCGCAUACGACCUACGGGUGAAAGCGGGGGAUCGCAAGACCUCGCGCUAUCGGAGCGGCCGAUGUCAGAUUAGCUAGUUGGUGGGGUAAAGGCCUACCAAGGCGACGAUCCGUAGCUGGUCUGAGAGGACGACCAGCCACACUGGGACUGAGACACGGCCCAGACUCCUACGGGAGGCAGCAGUGGGGAAUUUUGGACAAUGGGCGCAAGCCUGAUCCAGCCAUGCCGCGUGCGGGAAGAAGGCCUUCGGGUUGUAAACCGCUUUUGUCAGGGAAGAAACGCUCCGGGCUAAUACCACGGAGUAAUGACGGUACCUGAAGAAUAAGCACCGGCUAACUACGU